AAAAAAAAUCAGUUUAGUCAAGCGAAAACAAAAACGACAAGUAACUUUACCUUCUCCCCUUCUCUUAACGACUGCAUCUAGAUGAAGAAAUAAGAACAAUCGAUCGGAGGCUGAUACAAAUGGAACACAUAUCAGACGGAACUACAAUGAUCCCGAUCCAACGGAAAAAGGGUAUCAAAGUACGAACGGUUUGACAGAAGCAUCUAAAGAAAACAAAAAUGAAGCUGAAGCGGCGGUGGGAGAUAAUAUUGGUAAGUGUUGCUGGGAAUCCAUUGAUCCGUAGAAGCAGCCCGCCUGAGAUUUGUUCUGGAUAUCACCUGUCCAAGCCCUCUUUACGUUUCUUUGAGCUUCUCAUCGGGAAUAACAGGAUACAUCGUUGUUAGUGUCAACAGACAGCAAAUUAAAUUGAAAACAUGUACUUACUUGAUGUCUUCAAGAGUAAACUCAGGUUUCAUCCUUGGUUUGCAUGAACAAUGAACUGUUUUUAUCCCUCCCAAAUUAAUAACCUCGCCCAUUAAGUCUGUAAAAAAAACAGAGUGGUCGAAAAUGUUUUUUUUUUUCAAAUCAAUAUCGCAGGUAAUAAUUUGAAAACGUACCAGUGAGGAAACAUGGUUUAAGUGAUCCAUGUAAAACACUUUGAAAAUCUACCAAACUUAGAAACAGGGCUGAGGGUGAAAAUCUGAUUUUCAAAGAGGUUUCACCUACUCAUAACUAAAUCAGUUUUUCUUGGAAUAGUAGUGAUGUUUCCUACGAUAGACUAAACCAAGGCAUGCUGGCGAGAAUGACGUUAUAUAGAUGGGAUUAUAAGAGUUAAUUUUGGUCCAUCCGGAUGAGGUACAAUUUAAUUAAGGUUAAGUGCCGAGAAUUUAUUUAGGUGGUUUAGGAAUCUUAUGAAACGACAGUUUAUUAAGCCAGUGGCGUAAGUAUGUAAUUUUUGAGGAAAACUCAGGGUUAUUUUAUUUUUGUACUCAUGUUUUAAUAGAUUAGAUGGCUACGGAAUCGGGUUUCAAGGGACCUAAAAAAUCACUCCACCCUUGAAGGAAGUAGAAACAUCCAUUAACGCUGGAUUAGCCAUCAUUGUAGCGUUUUCUUUCCUCAGUCUUGCACCUUGAAAUGGAAUGUAAUUGCCUCUAGUGAUGCUGGUUCCUUUUAUAGUUGGUUGGCAAGAUAAAAGCCUUUAGAAAUUUUUGUUUAAAACAUUUUAGGUGAAAACUUUAACAUUUGUCUUUUGUAAAUUUAGUUUUAUGAAU